CUACUGGGGUUUCUAAUCCCGUUCGCUCCCCUGGCUUUCGCGUCUCAGCGUCAGAAAACGUCCAGGACCUCGCUUUCGCCACGGGCGUUCCUUCCGAUCUCAACGCAUUUCACCGCUCCACCGGAAGUUCCAGGUCCCCCUACGUCCCUCCAGGAAGGUCGUAUCCGCGCCCGUUCCCCGGUUGAGCCGGGGGCUUUCAACGUCGGACGUGCCCUCCCGCCUACACGCGCUUUAAGCCCAGUGAUUCCGAAUAACGUUCGCACGGUUCGUCUUACCGCGGCUGCUGGCAC
rnacentral:rRNA from 1 species